rnacentral:lncRNA from 1 species
GCGUUCUAUUUUCUCUCUCCUUUCUUCGUUUCUCCGUUCUACUUUUUGUUCAUUCAUCAUGUUUCGAUUUCGAAAUUCUUGAUUCUAAGGGUUUUUCGUUGCUUCGUUAUGUCUUGAUUUCAGGUUUUGCUGUUUUCGAUUUCUUUGAUCGAUUGCUAUAAAGGAACACUCGUUAUGGAUUUUCGGAUCGUAGAUAUUAAGAAUUUCGUAAUUCUCUUGAUCUUCUUUUAUUGAUCGGUUAUUUUAUCAAGAAUUGUUUGAAUAAUAUUUGGAUUAUUGGAUAUAAAUCUUCAUCAUUGGAUAAUCGAGAUAUAUACAUGUUUAUCCGUUUUGCAGCGAGAUGAAUCUUUUCUAUAUCACUUUUGCGAUUCUUGAAAGUGGAUAACAAUAGAAACGGUUCCAGAUAAAUCGAAUUGAACUUUCAACAUGUCUUUCUUGAUUUGCUCAUGGAGUUUGGUUUCUUGAUCGAUUUUUCACGUUUCUUGAUUUGUUAUCUUGAUUGAUUACUCUGAGAGAUCUUGAUUUCAGGGAUCGCUGUUCUUGUUUUCUAUGAUCCGUCCCUGUAGACGCAUUGAUAUCAAGAAUUUCACACGAUCACACACCUCUAUUCACUCUUUUAAGCAUCAUCGGUUAUUUCAAUAAUUUUGGAUACAAUUCUUCAAUUGAUAAUGAGACAUGCAUUUACCCGUUUUGCUUUUACAGUGAGCUGAAGAGUUUUGGUGUCUAUGUAGAGCAACUUGAUGCAAUAGACAAGAUCGGAGAACGGUCCCGGAUAGAUAAAUCAAUUUUUUUCAAUGAAUAUCUUUUUACUAUUCUUUAGGAUUUGAUUUUAAGCAAAUUGAAUUAAGAACAUAUUUUUAUGCAGCGUGAUUUCUCAAAGAUGGAGCCCAGGAUUUUGAUUUGGUGAUAGCAUGUUUUUCUGCAGCGUGGUUUGUCAAAAUAUUAACCUUCUUCGUAGUAUGGUUUGUGUAUACAAUAUGAACAAUAUGAAUUCAUAGAGGAGAAGACAAAAAGAUAUUCUAAGACAACGAAAGCUAAUAACUAUUUACAUAGAUGCAAUCAUGAAGAAAAAAAUAAAUAAUAAGUAAUAUAAAAUCUAAUCUUUAAAGAUAUUCUAAGAUUCUAAGAUACUUUACUAUAAUAUCAAGAUACUAAAGAAAUUUUUGGAUAUUUUAACGGUUUGAUCUUCAUGUUAUGUAAUCUUCUCUACAAGUCUUAUUUUGAUGACAAGUUUAUUGAGGUGUGAAUUAUGUUGGUAUUGAAAAGUUCAGUUGUAGGGUUUCCUUAUGCCUCCAAUACAUUUAAGUUUUUGACUUGUAUAAUCUGACAGUGUGAAAGUUACAAAAUUCUGGAUAAAUUGGGAGGGAACAGCUUUGUGGAGCUCUCUUCCUAACUACGAUCUUCUGAUCAGGGACUUGGUUUGGUUUGGAGAAUUAUGCUACUCUUUAUUUAUCCAUAGCUUUUUCUACAACUAUUUGUCAUAUCGUGAUUUUAUUAUUCUUUGAUCGUGUUCAAGAUGGUGUUGAUUGUGCAGCCAGAACCUUUGUACUACUCUAGCAUAGAUUACAAGAUUUUGGAAUGACUCUUUGGCCUUCCCAAGAUGAGGAAUUUUGGAAAACUGGAUAUAAAUUUGAUUCUGAUGAUUUGUUUGUUGGUGAUAGCUUAACUUUGUUGGGGGAGGUUUUCUAAAUCUUCAUUACUGUUUUGUCGUUUUUAUUGUGAUUUAUGAUGAUGAUACUCCUAAAAAGAUUCCCUAUUCAUUAUAGUGGCCAAAGGACUCUUCUGUAUUUGGAGAAGCCAAAAUCAUGUCAUUUCAUAUGGGUACAUGAUCUUGCAAAUUGGAUGGAAAUUUGGUCAACUCUUAUAAGACUCUUCUUUACAUUUCAGUGUUAUUUUUUAUACUCAACACAUAAAAGGUCGGUUCCUUUGAGUUUUCUUUGUUGUUGUUAUAGGGGAGAGAGCCUAUAAAUGUGUGGUUCACGGUGGAACCCAUGGCAGGCAGAGGUUGACAUACUUACUCUUCAGCUUGGGAUUUUGGAUAGUGUUAGUUUUUGUGUAUAUGGUAUCAGGAAUGUAUGUAUGAAUGAAGCAAGGAUGAGGAACUCGUGACAACUUCCUUUGGCACCACAAUCUGCAAUUGGCUGCUGUUGAUGUGCUUUCAUUUGGUUAUCUCUACUCUGACUAUGCACUCUUCAUGUUUCUUUGUAUAUUUUGAGGAUAUAGUUUUCUUUGAUUCCAAGGACUUGUUUGUGCUUUGGUGUUACAGAGGAGAGAGCUGUGAAUGUACUGUUGGAUUUGAAAGUUUUGAGCCUUUGGAUUCAACGGGUUACUUUUUCCUUGAGUGUUUGUUCUGGAAUAGGUGUCCUAUUAUGAUGCGGCAGUGCUGGUAUUUAUUUAUGUUUAGAAUUAUGAAUCUAAGCAUUAGCAGUGCAUCUAUUUUCUUGUAUAAUCAAGAUAUAAGUUUGUUUUGCAGUGACUUGAACGUUUGUAGAUAUUUUGAUACAUUUCGUAUUGAUGAUAAUCGAUAAGAAUGAUAAUGGCUACAGAUACAUAGAUCAAGUUUCUUCAAUGAAGUCGUUCUUUAUUAUUUUUAUUUUUGCGCUUCCAUUGUAAGAUACAAAUUGAAUUGUGAACUUGUUUUUCUGCAGUGUGGUUUUUCAAAAUAAUGAUGUUCAUUCAUCAUAGCAUGGGAGCCUCAAGUUUUGGUUUGCCUAUUUCUUUUUAAAACAUAUUUUUUCGAUACUUUAUUCCCUUUGGUGAUGCAGGGACGAUAAUAAUUUUCUUUCUCUUGUUUGAUCUUCCGGUUUUGUAUUCUGAUUAUUUUCUCUGGUAUUUUGAUUGUGAGGUUUGAUUUGAUUCUGGCUUUAAUGCAUGUUAUUUUCUGCGGUGCAGUGUGUUUUGAAACAAUAACAUUUUAUUAGCAUCAAGCCUCAGGUUUUAUUCUGGUCUAUUCUGAUCUUGAUUUCAGGGAUCGCUGUUCUCGUUUUCUAUGAUCCGUCGCUGUAAACGCAUUGAUAUGGUUUUUUCAGAUAGUGGAUAUCAAGAAUUUCACACUAUCACACACCUCUAUUCACUCUUUUACGCAUCAUCGGUUAUUUCAAUAAUUUUGGAUACAAUUCUUCAUUUGAUAAUGAGACGUGCAUUUAUCCGUUUUGCUUUUACAGUGAGCUGAAAAGUUUUGGUGUCUAUGUAGAGCGACUUGAUGCAAUAGACAAGAUUGGAGAACGGUCCCGGAUAGAUAAAUCAAAUUUUUUCAAUGAAUAUCUUUUUACUAUUUUUUAGAAUUUGAUUUUAAGCAAAUUGAAUUAAGACCAUAUUUUUAUGCAGCGUGAUUUGUCAAAGAUGGAGCCCAGAAUUUUGAUUUGGUGAUAGCAUGUUUUUCUGCAGCAUGGUUUGUCAAAAUAUUAACCUUCUUCAUAGUAUGGUUUGUGUAUACAAUAUGAACAAUAUGAAUUCAUAGAGGAGAAGACAAAAAGAUAUUCUAAGACAACGAAUGCUAAUCACUAUUUAAAUAGAUGCAAUCAUGAAGAAAAAAAUAAAUAAUAAGUAAUAUAAAAUCUAAUCUUUAAAGAUAUUCUAAGAUUC